rnacentral:tRNA from 1 species
CCGGUCAUGGCGGAAUGGUAGACGCGCCAGCUUGAGGGGCUGGUGGGGCUUAGCCCUGUGGAAGUUCGACUCUUCUUGACCGGA